GCCAAUGAUUCCCCUGCUCCCUCUCCAGCAAGUGAAGCUGCCCCUCAGAUCUCGUUUCUUCUCUCGUUCUCAAACUUCAUCCGCUACCCCCGCCGCCGAGCUAGCUCCACAGGAGCACGGAGGAGAAUUUGUCACGGGACGACUGCGGAUGACUCCUCUGUCUUCUUUCUGGAGAUGCCUGCUUCCAAGCCCACAUGCAUCUGUCCUUUUGUGCUCCUAGCCCAACUAGGCCGAUCACGGCCAUGUACGUCUGUAAUCCUCUGCCAGCAAACAUGACCCCUAGUGUUUUCUGUUCCAUGUGGCGCACAUCCCAAAGAAUAUGCACGUCCAGGAUAGCAGUACCCGGGUGCGUAAGCUCACAGGAAUGAUUUCGCCCCCGGGUCGGGGCUCGAAAGAAGGUCCGGGCCUACGAGGGAAAGCAGCGAGGGUUGGUGCAGCGGCAAAUGCGGGUGGGAUCUGCCGUGGAGGGAGGCUCGUCAAGCCAGAACAACAGGAGCAAGGAGGUCGUGCAGGCGCGAAUGCUGGCGGGGUCGGCCGUGGAAGAAGUCUCGCUGGACGGAGCAUCAAGAGCAGGGAAGUCGAGGUGGUUCAGGUUUGCCUCUAUCUCCUCCCCACUCUAUCUCUGCCCUCUCUCUUAUUUUCCCCUUUGUCUCGUGGAUAAGGGCGUUAGUGCACCACGAGGAGUAGAUCGAGCGUGGACCAUAGCUGCAGGAUCAAGGAGAUGUUGGUGGUUCUGGCAACAAGGAGCUGCUGGUGGUUCUGGCAACAAGGAGGAUGAUCAAGAAGGAUUGGGGAACACCAGCAAAAAAAGUACUGGGGGAGACGGGCGGGACGAAGGCAUGGAGAUAGUUGUUUGGUGCCAACGUGCGUUUGGUGUUGAUUGCUGGCUGGCCGACUAAGGUGUGCUACCGGCGAUGAGAUCCAGGAGGAGGUGGCGGCUGACAGGGAGACGAGGACCUUUUUGCUUGCAUUCUCGUGUCUUUUGGCAAGGAGAAAAUUAUCAUUUGGAGGGGAAAAGACAGAUGAAAACAUGCAUGAUAGUAUAUGCAAUUGACAUACCCUUCAGUUCUUGAAUCAGAGUUCAGUGGUGAAGAACACUACAAUUUUUUGGCCGAUGGAUUGGUCUGAAUAUAUUGUAAGGGAUUUUGCAUGAAGUGGUUAUUCAAAGAAUGGAACCAAUUUUAUGUGAAAAAUACUAUGAUUAAAGCAUACACGAUUUUACUGAAUGGAUAUGGUAUAACCUCCAUGAUAUUUGAGUGGUCCAGAAUCAAGACGCCCUGAGAAUUUUACCCUUCGAUGAACAAUGCAAGAUUUUGCCUAUUCUCUGAGAUGGAUGAUGAUGAGCGGUGCAACCGAAAAUUCAGAGCUAGGCUUUACACACUUUAGUGGGUUAGUGAAGUUCCAGUUUUUCUUCUUUACCCUAUUGCUGCUCUGUUGUACAGAGAGCAGUGAGUUUAUAUUAGCUAAAUGUUAGAUUGGAAUGCAAGAGUAGCAUGACAACACCAAGGUAGAGACCUUAAGAGAAGCAAGGGGAUGGACCAAGGAAACUAGAACCGUGCUGUCGUGAUGUGGGUCGUGUCGUCUUUGUCCAUCUCCAUGGAGGUAUAUAUACAUAGAUUAGGUAUAGGAAAGGAGACCGUCUCCAUGGAACUCUGACUGGUGUGUAAUGUCCUCAUAGGACUGGACCGUUUACAGAGGGAGUACUUGAAAAUAGAUUCUUUAUAUAUUGUUUGGUUCCAUCAGCCGCAUAACCUAAAUUAGCAAUUAGGUAUCUAAACAGUGUAGUGUAACCAUUGUGCUUGCUGCAGUUUUACUUUAGUGUUGAAAUGUU